AGUGAACGCUGGCGGUAGGCCUAACACAUGCAAGUCGAACGGCAGCACAGUAAGAGCUUGCUCUUACGGGUGGCGAGUGUCGGACGGGUGAGGAAUACAUCGGCAUCUACUUUUUCGUGGGGGAUAACGUAGGGAAAAUUACGCUAAUACCGCAUACGACCUACGGGUGAAAGCAGGGGAUCUUCGGACCUUGCGCGAUUGAAUGAGUCGAUGUCGGAUUAGCAAGUUGGCGGGGUAAAGGCCCACCAAGGGGACGAUCCGUAGCUGGUAUGAGAGGAUGAUCAGCCACACUGGAACUGAGACACGGCCCAGACGCCUAGGGAAGGCAGCAGUGGGGAAUAUUGGACAAUGGGCGCAAGCCUGAUCCAGCCAUACCGCGUGGGUGAAGAAGGCCUUCGGGUUGUAAAGCCCUUUUGUUUGGAAAGAAAAGCAGCAGGUUAAUACCCCGCUGUUCUGACGGUACCCAAAGAAUAAGCACCGGCUAACUUCGUG
rnacentral:rRNA from 1 species